CAAAAAGUUUUUUAUUUUUUUACGGCUUUCAAAUAUAAGCAACCCGGCAAUUAAUGAUCAAAACAAACUUUUAUAACUCGCGUAAAGUAAUUACACCGAAAACUCGUUACAGUGAGCUCCACUGUGCAGGCCCAAAUGCAAAUGCAGUGGCACUCAGGCAGUACCGUUAGCCAGCGCCAUUAGCCAAGUUAAGAGAUGGAGAGGUUGGAGAGAUGGAGAGGUUGGAGAGAUGGAGAGAUGGAGAGGCUCAGCGGAUCUACACACACAUUGGCCCAUUCGCGCACACUUAUGCCAACCAUUAAUUUCCAUUUAUGGAUUAAGCAAGUGAGCGUUGCGAGCAGCGGGGAGUUUUUAAAGGGGAUGGACUGGUGGGGAAAGGGGAGGGAACUGAAGGGGGAGGGGCAGGAGCCCGCACGCACAAAAGCCUUUAAUAAAUGCAUCGCCAUUACGGGCAGCACAUGCUUAGAGGAGCAGCAAGGAGCUGGCCGCUUCAUCAGCAGCAGCAGCAGCAGUUGCUCCUUUGAGCCGAAAGUCACAGCCAGAUGGCGAUGGCCCAGCUGGCGAACAACUCAAUUGCCAAGCCAACGGUCGGUUGGUCCCCAGUUUUCCCGAGCUGCUUAUCGCCAGUUUGCCGUUGCCGUUGUAUGUUGCGUUUCGUUGUGUGGCAACUGCAUUUGCCGCAAUUCCCGCUGCUGCAGUUGCAGCUUUUCCAUCUGCCACAAAUGCGCCACUCGCCCCAAAUCUUUAAAUGCCGCUCAUGUGAUUUUUCUUGGUCGCCGCGCAGAGGAUUGGAGUCGAGUGGAAUGGAAUGGAGUUGGAGUCUCUGGGAUUAGCGCGAGUGAGUAAUGAUGUUGGCCUGCGCCGGAGACUGAGAUGAAGAUGGAGGCCGCUGCGAUGUCGACCGACGGAGAUGUGCCCAUAUGAGCGAGUGUGUGGCACCCAGGAGUACAUUCAUAUGGGGAAUGCCACAUGCUUUUAAAUGGAUAUUCUGAGUAAAAUAGAAAAUUUAAAAACUUUUACCUUACUUAUUAAAAAAAUAUAUAUAAGUUCA